GCCGGGACCAUCUGGAGAGGUGGCAGAGCGGUUGAAUGUACCUGACUCGAAAUCAGGCAGGCGUUUAUAGCGCCUCGGGGGUUCGAAUCCCCCCCUCUCCGCCAGAUAAUUGAACUAAGCCCUUGAGUUUCAAGGGCUUUUUUCAUUUCUGGCUUAGC
rnacentral:ncRNA from 1 species